rnacentral:ncRNA from 1 species
GAGCCUGUACCGCAACUUUGUUGUCGAAAUCCGGGGUCGCAAAGCCACGGGGCUGACGGAGGACGCUCUCCAAGCUCGCCGGGUUGCCGAA